UCCCCAGACAAUUUGACCACUGUGCAGUUCCCUAUAUAAGGGAAUUGAGAAAGUUAGUGGACAUCAGUGUUUCUCCUGCCUGCACCGGUCAAGUUACGAAUCAUGAACAAGUUUGUCUCCCUUUUUGCCGCCCUGGCUCUACUUGGCUGUGUAUCCGCACAGACAUUCGGCGCCUUCACCCCCGGAGGUCUGGCUUCCCUGGCACUCCUCCCCCCACUCAUCAACCAGCUGGCUAUGCCCGUCAGACCUCCUCCGCCACCACCAGCAUUCUACGGAGGAGGAGGAUUCGGAGGAUACGGAGGAGGAGGAUACCUCCCACCCACCAUUAUUGAGCGCAGGGUCAGGUACCACCCCGGCAAAUAUUAAUGAUCUAACGACAUCCUGUCAAAGGCCUUCAAAUCAUUGAUCACGGUAUGUGACAAAGGUUGAUAUGGAUAAUAUAUGGACGAGACAGACAUGCGCGAAUAUGAUGGACAUUCUUGGGGCUAUCAAAUACACGCAGAUCAAGAAA
rnacentral:lncRNA from 1 species